GUGGUGACACCGAGCAGAACCGAAAGCCGUUCUCAGUUCGGAUCGGAGUCUGCAACCCGACUCCGUGAAGCUGGAUUCGCUAGUAAUCGCGCAUCAGCCAUGGCGCGGUGAAUACGUUCCCGGGCCUUGUACACACCGCCCGUCAAGCCAUGGGAGCCGGGGGUGCUUGAAGUGCGUCGCCGCAAGGCGCGCCCUAGAGCAAAACCGGUGACUGGGGCUAAGUCGUAACAAGGUAAC
rnacentral:rRNA from 1 species